rnacentral:rRNA from 1 species
UUUGGAAACAGGUGCUAAUACCGGAUAAUAAAGCAGAUCCCAUGAUCAGCUUUUGAAAGGCGGCGUAAGCUGUCGCUAAGGGAUGGCCCCGCGGUGCAUUAGCUAGUUGGUAAGGUAACGGCUUACCAAGGCGACGAUGCAUAGCCGAGUUGAGAGACUGAUCGGCCACAUUGGGACUGAGACACGGCCCAAACUCCUACGGGAGGCAGCAGUAGGGAAUCUUCCACAAUGGACGCAAGUCUGAUGGAGCAACGCCGCGUGAGUGAAGAAGGUUUUCGGAUCGUAAAGCUCUGUUGUUGGCGAAGAAGGAUAGAGGUAGUAACUGGCCUUUAUUUGACGGUAAUCAACCAGAAAGUCACGGCUAACUACGUGCCAGCAGCCGCGGUAAUACGUAGGUGGCAAGCGUUGUCCGGAUUUAUUGGGCGUAAAGCGAGCGCAGGCGGAAAAAUAAGUCUAAUGUGAAAGCCCUCGGCUUAACCGAGGAACUGCAUCGGAAACUGUUUUUCUUGAGUGCAGAAAGAGGAGAGUGGAACUCCAUGUGUAGCGGUGGAAUGCGUAGAUAUAUGGAAGAACACCCAGUUGGCGAAGGCGGCUCUCUGGUCUGC